rnacentral:lncRNA from 1 species
UGGGUUUCUCUCCGCCCUAACGACGCUCUGUGGCCCCCCCCCUUCCCGUAUGCUAGUUUUAGCACGUGUGGAAUAAUUUGCAAAACGAUGAUGACGGUCGACCAGGGCCACAUCAACAUCAUGUACUUUGUCGAAGAAAUUCAAGCAAGCAGCAGCGUCAAGACAAAAAGCAGAGCCCUAAGAUGAAUGGGACGAAUUUACGCAUUGGAGCGGCAAAUGUUCCCCUGUCUCGUCCCUCCUCUGUUCAUUAACCCCUUUAGGGUCGCGGUGUAACGUAGACUUAGCAUGAAAACCAUUAUUUUGUUCUGAUCUUCGAAUUGU